CCUACGGGAGGCAGCAGUGGGGAAUAUUGGACAAUGGGGGGAACCCUGAUCCAGCGAAGCCGCGUGAGUGAAGAAGGAUCUAGGUAUGUAAAGCUCUAUCAGCAGGGAAGAAAAUGAAGGUACCUGACUAAGAAGCCCCGGCUAACUACGUGCCAGCAGCCGCGGCAAUACGGCGGGGGCAAGCGUUAUCCGGAUUUACUGGGUGUAAAGGGAGCGUAGACGGUUCAGCAAGUCUGAUGUGAAAGGUCGGGGCCCAACCGCGAGACUGCAUUGGAAACUGUUGAACUUGAGUACAGGAGAGGUAAGCGGAAUUCCUAGUGUAGCGGUGAAAUGCGUAGAUAUUAGGAAGAACACCGAUGGCGAAGGCGGCUUACUGGACUGUAACUGACGUUGAGGCUCGAAAGCGUGGGUAGCAAACAGGAUUAGAUACCCUUGUAGUC
rnacentral:rRNA from 1 species